rnacentral:rRNA from 1 species
UUAGAGUUUGAUCCUGGCUCAGGAUGAACGCUAGCUACAGGCUUAACACAUGCAAGUCGAGCGGUAUGUGCUUUAGUGCAUACAGCGGCAGACGGGUGAGUAACACGUAUCUAACCUUCCCCUUACUUGGGCAUAGCCUCUGGAAACGGAGAUUAAUUUCCGAUGUGGUGUACAUUUCGCAUGUUUUGCGCACCAAAGAUUUAUCGGUAAGGGAUGGGGAUGCGCUCCAUUAGGUUGUAGGUAGGGUAAUGGCCUACCUAGCCUAUGAUGGAUAGGGGUUCUGAGAGGAAGGUCCCCCACAUUGGAACUGCGACACGGUCCAAACUCCUACGGGAGGCAGCAGUGAGGAAUAUUGGUCAAUGGCCGGAAGGCUGAACCAGCCAAGUAGCGUGCAGGAUGACUGCCUUAUGGGUUGUAAACUGCUUUUUUACGGGAAUAAUUAUGAUCACGUGUGAUUAUUUGCAUGUACCGUAAGAAUAAGGAUCGGCUAACUCCGUGCCAGCAGCCGCGGUAAUACGGAGGAUGCAAGCGUUAUCCGGAUUCAUUGGGUUUAAAGGGUGCGCAGGCGGAGAGAUAAGUCAGUGGUGAAAAACUGCCGCUCAACGGUAGUCUUGCCAUUGAUACUGUCUUUCUUGAGUAUGGAUGAGGUAGGCGGAAUGUGCAGUGUAGCGGUGAAAUGCAUAGAUAUUGCACGGAACACCAAUUGCGAAGGCAGCUUACUAGACCAUUACUGACGCUCAGGCACGAAAGCGUGGGGAUCAAACAGGAUUAGAUACCCUGGUAGUCCACGCAGUAAACGAUGUUCACUCGCUGUUUGCGAUAUACUGUAAGCGGCUUAGUUAAAGCAUUAAGUGAACCACCUGGGGAGUACGAUCGCAAGGUUGAAACUCAAAGGAAUUGACGGGGGCCCGCACAAGCGGAGGAACAUGUGGUUUAAUUCGAUGCUCCGCGAAGAACCUUACCUGGGUUUGACAUAACAGUGGUAGAGAAGUGAAAACGGAUCGACCCUUCGGGGAGCUGUUACAGGUGUUGCAUGCCUGUCGUCAGCUCGUGUCGUGAGAUGUUGGGUUAAGUCCCGCAACGAGCGCAACCCCUAUGUUUAGUUACUACCAUUAAGUUGAGGACUUUAAACAGACUGCCAGUGAUAAACUGGAGGAAGGUGGGGAGGACGUCAAAUCAUCAUGCUCUUUAUGUCCUGGGCUACACACGUACUACAAUGGGGAGACCAGAGGGAAGCGAAACAGUGAUGUGGAGCCAAACCCAAAAGCUCUUUUAAGUUCGAAUUGCAGAUUGAAACUCAUCUGCAUGAAGCCGGAAUUGCUAGUAAUGGCAGGUCAUCAUACUGCCGUGAAUAAAAUGCCGGGCCUUGUACACACCGCCCG